UGCUUACUCGGAAGUAAGCCCCGUCGAGGUCGGUGGGGAAAGGAUCGUGCGCGCCAUCUGGGCGCAGCGGCAGCAGCAACCCUUUUCCUGUGUUGCUCAGAAAGUGAAGCCGUGCGCGCUUGCAAGGCGACUUGCUUGCUGUCAGGUGAAGUGCUGGGAGCUGCCUAACUAAAACAAGCACGCACAAAAAGAGAUCACAGCUGAAAAGGCUGGCAGCAUUCAGAUCAUUUCAGCAGGGUAAACAAGUUUUGAUGGAUGCAGUAAUGGAAGACUGAAUGGUAUAGCUUUUGUAAAGUAUGCAGGGAUUUAUAUGAUGUGCUCAUCUAUGUGCACAUCAUAUAAGAAAGAGAAGGAUGAAGAUCUUAAGGAUGUAAAAUGAAUAUUUGAAAUUGUAAAGAAAUUUUAUAAAUAAAAAUUAGAGAGAGAGAGAGAUGAAAGGAGGAUAAAGAAUAUAAAGGAGGACUGGGGAAUUUUUGCUGUAUAUUUUCAGAACCAGUAUAAACAAGUGAAUAACCUAGCAGGUCUUGAGUAAAUCCAACAGCAUAGAAGUUAAUGGGAUUUAUAACUGAUGAAGAAAUUUGAAUAUUUCUGCAAUAUGAAGAAUUUGGAAUAUUCCAUUUAAUAGAAAAAUAAAAAGAACCAGGAAAAGGGUGGAAGGGAAGUCACCGGGUAUUUAGUUGUAUGUCGAGAUUGAUAUGAAAGUUGUACAACUGGUGGGGGAGGAAGGGGGUGUGGGAUGUGUUUGUUUUUCUUUUCCGUCUCUAUAUUAAAAAUGCAAAUAAAAGGUUUGAUAUUAAAAAAAAAACCAAACAGCACAAUCCUGUUGUCUACUCAGAAAUAAGCCUCAACGGGACUUAUCCCUAAAGAAGUGGGGGUAUAUGGGGUUUUAACUGGCCCAUUGCUUGAUUUUGUGUUACCUGGCUCUGAUUUUAAUUGUGAUUGUUCUUUUUUAAUUUGUAUUACUUUUAUUUGCUUUAGAAACCGAUCUGGGACCUUUCGUUAGGGUAAAAAGCAUUUUUAAAAUAAUCCCAUAGAUUAAAAGCAAUAGGGGUUGCAUCCUAGCUCAACAAACUGGAUAGCGAGGAAACCCCAUGGGCUACAGUCAAACUUUAUUUUGAGUUGGUGAGGCCUAUCUGACAACAGCAAGAACAUCAUUUAGUGUCAUUGUCCCAGGCCUGUAGAAUCUUCUGCCAAUAGAGAUUCAGCAGGUGUCUUCUGAUUUGACUUUUAAAUACCUGCUGCCAUGCUUCUGCAAGCAAUUAAGGAUACAGUACAUCUUUCUGCAGCAAUUAGCUGGUUUAUGUUUCUGACUUUUUAAUAUGGUUUAUUGUAUGGCUUUUAUGAACCAUUGUUGCAAACCGCUCUGGCAUUUUUUAAAAUGAAUGACAGCAUAUAAUUAUUUUAUCAAUAAAUAAAUCAUUUGGGUUUGGUUAAA